UACGAAGGGUGCAAACGUUGCUCGGAAUCAUUGGGCGUAAAGCGCAUGUAGGCGGCCUUGUAAGUCGGAUGUGAAAUCCCACGGCUCAACCGUGGACGUGCAUUCGAAACUGCUCGGCUCGAGUAUGGAAGAGGGUCGCGGAAUUCCCGGUGUAGAGGUGAAAUUCGUAGAUAUCGGGAGGAACACCAGUGGCGAAGGCGGCGACCUGGGCCAAUACUGACGCUGAGGUGCGAAAGCGUGGGGAGCAAACAGG
rnacentral:rRNA from 1 species